rnacentral:lncRNA from 1 species
UGGUUGUUAAAUAUUAUAUACCUCUAACAGUAUAACUACAAUACAGAUCGUAUGCUUGCAUCACCUUACCCAAAUUAAGGGUGAAAAUGCUAAAUGGUGUAUUGUUACAUCAAUAUCUCGGGUGUAGGUUUGGGCACUCUUUUUAUAUGUGUUCCAGUCUGGUUGAGUUCUGCUAUUUCUCUUUCGCUAAAAUUUUAUCAUAAAUCAGGCUGCUGUUAUUUCUUUUUUUUUUGGCAUUGUUUUUACUUUUAUCAUUUUGCUGUCCUUACAACUGAGUAUAUGUUUUGCUUUAUAAAUAUUUUGAUAUGAGCGUCACUGAUGAGUCUUAUGUAGACGAAACGCGCGUCAGGUGUACUAAAUUGUAAUCCUGGUCCCUUUGAUAACUAUUAUAAGCUUAGUUAAAUGGUGAGGGUCAUACA